rnacentral:rRNA from 1 species
AUGUACUCGCUGAGGGAUUUAUUGGGUUUCGUUGUGGGAGCAGCGAUCACGGCCGCCAUUGUCGUGCUGCUGGUGCCGUCGUCUGCUCCCAACUGCCCGUGCAGCCCCGAGCUGGCGUUGGACAACAAUGGAAGCCAAGCACAUCUCAUGAGCACAAAAAACCUCAGCACGGUUCCGGCCGUGAAGAGUAAAGAAGAAGACAGCCUUGCGGAGCUUCUGAGAAGCGCGGCCAUGGAGGACAAGACCGUCAUACUGACCUUCGUCAACGAGGCGCUGACGCUGCCCGGGUCGCUCCUGGAGCUCUUCCUGGAGAGCUUCCGGCUGGGCGUGCGGACGCAGCCCCUGCUGAAGCACCUGGUGAUCGUGGCCAUGGACGCCAAGGCGCUGGAGCGGUGCCAGCACAUGCACCCGCUCUGCUACCCGCUCGGCGGUGGCCGCAGCAGCGACGUCGCACCUGGAGGGAUGACGGCGGCAGAGGUGACGUUCAUGAGCAAGGACUACGUGGAGCUGAUGUGGGCGCGGAACCGGUUCCAGGCGCGGGUGCUGGAGCUGGGGUUCGGCUUCGUGUUCACGGACGUGGACAUCGUGUGGUUCCGGAACCCGCUGCUGCGGUUCCCCGUCGCCGCCGACAUCGCCUUGGCGUGCGACCAGUUCUUGGGCAACAAUCCCUAUGACCUCGACAAGGCGGCCAAUGGCGGGUUCGUGUACGCGAGGCCCAACGCGCGGACGUUGGCGUUCUUCCAGGAGUGGUACGAGGCGAGGAACCGGUUCCCUGGGGAGCACGACCAGUUUGUGUUCGGCGAGGUGAAGAAGGAGCUGUCGGCGCGGCACGGGGUGACGGUGAUGCUGAUUGACACCGUCUACUUCAGCGGCGUGUGCGAGAACAAGAAGAACUUUUAUGAGGUGUGCACGUACCACGCCAACUGCCUCAUCGGUCUGCAGAAAAAGAUCGACACGCUCGCCGGCGUGCUCGACGAGUGGAAGCAAUUCAGGGCCCAGCAGCAGCUGCUUGGCAACAGCACCACCACGCUCAUCUACUGA